UACAGAGGGUGCAAGCGUUAAUCGGAAUUACUGGGCGUAAAGCGUGCGUAGACGGUUAUGUAAGUCGGGUGUGAAAGCCCCGGGCUCAACCUGGGAAUUGCAUUCGAGACUGCAUAGCUAGGGUGCGGAAGAGGGAAGCGGAAUUUCCGGUGUAGCGGUGAAAUGCGUAGAUAUCAGGAAGAACACCCGUGGCUAAGGCGGCUCUCUAGUACGUGACUGACGCUGAGACACGAAAGCGUGGGGAGCAAACAGG
rnacentral:rRNA from 1 species